UCCGGCUUUCACCGGCUGUUCCAUUAAAGUGCCCAGCUUAACCUGCUGGCAACUAAUGGCAAGGGUUGCGCUCGUUGCGGGACUUAACCCAACAUCUCACGACACGAGCUGACGACAGCCAUGCAGCACCUGUGCUCUUCCCGGCCGAACCGAAGGACCUGAUCUCUCAGGCCCAUAGAAGGCAUGUCAAAGGCUGGUAAGGUUCUGCGCGUAGCUUCGAAUUAAACCACAUCCUCCACCGCUUGUGCGGGUCCCCGUCAAUUCCUUUGAGUUUUAAUCUUGCGACCGUACUCCCCAGGCGGAAUGCUUCAUGCGUGAGCGACGGCACUGACUGUGACCAGCCAACACCUAGCAUUCAUCGUUUAGGGCGUGGACUAC
rnacentral:misc_RNA from 1 species